AGCAGUCGCCGCGGGAAUACGUAGGUGGCAAGCGUUGUCCGGAAUUAUUGGGCGUAAAGCGCGCGCAGGCGGAUAGGUCAGUCUGUCUUAAAAGUUCGGGGCUUAACCCCGUGAUGGGAUGGAAACUGCCAAUCUAGAGUAUCGGAGAGGAAAGUGGAAUUCCUAGUGUAGCGGUGAAAUGCGUAGAUAUUAGGAAGAACACCAGUGGCGAAGGCGACUUUCUGGACGAAAACUGACGCUGAGGCGCGAAAGCCAGGGGAGCGAACGGGAUUAGAUACCCCUGUAGUCCCUGUCUCUUAUACA
rnacentral:rRNA from 1 species